rnacentral:rRNA from 1 species
UACGAAGGGGGCUAGCGUUGUUCGGAAUUACUGGGCGUAAAGCGCGCGUAGGCGGUGAUCUUUGUCAGAGGUGAAAGCCUGGGGCUCAACUCCAGAAUUGCCUUUGAAACGGGAUCGCUUGAGUCCGAGAGAGGAUGGCGGAAUUCCUAGUGUAGAGGUGAAAUUCGUAGAUAUUAGGAAGAACACCGUGGCGAAGGCGGCCAUCUGGCUCGGUACUGACGCUCAGGCGCGAA